ensembl:lncRNA
GGUUGAGGUUUGGGGGGGGCAGAAAUUAAGCAUAUUAAAGAUUAGUUGAAAAUUUCAAGAAGCAUCACAGAUAAGAGAAACACAAGCGUGGGGGUUUAUUGUGUUCCGUCUUUCAAAAAUUGUUUCACAAAAUGAUGUGGCUGAAGAAGCCACAUAAAGAGAAGGGAUUUUCUUGUGAGUGCUUAACUGCCUGAAGAGAGAGUCCAGAGGGGCUGUGAAAUCAGACCCUGGAGGCUUCUCUGUAGUGCCAUGCUAAUCAGGGUUAUUUUACUCCCUGAGACUUCAUUUCUGCUUCCAGGAGUUGGUGGCAAAAUAAGCUUUCAUUUUCUCACAACAGCACAUUCCCAGGAAAGGGCCCUUGUCCUGAAGUCCUCUGUGACAUUCUGUCCUUGGUCUCACAGGUGGCUCAACUGUCUUCCCAGAUCCCCCAGGAUUGCGCCCCUCCUUAAUCAAAGGGCUGGUCAGUGAAUGUACCCAGGUCAUUAAUUGCGUGGAGCUCGGGCAGUUUGUGCACUGUCCUCCCCUUCUUCAGUUCUCCUGGGUCCAUCCCUCAUCAGCUAAGCUAUGUGAAGUAGCUUAAUUGACAUUGCAACAUCGCACAUCACACCGAGUGCGUGUGAACUGCCGACUAGAUAAAGCCUGACGUGACUGGACACUGGUGGGCAGACAGCCCCCAGAACCACAGGCGGUUCCAGAUGUUUUUGUCGAGGCUGGCACAGUUCCAGUCACUUCUGAGCUGGCCUUUCCAGUUUCUCCAGGUCUCAACUCCACGCACCGGGUGUUGGCAGGCGCGGGGAAAAUAUUCCUCAGGCUUUGAUCUCCAUCUCUGCUGCGGGCCCUGUUCCGUUGACCUCAGCCACGUCGCUGCCCUCCCGUGUAUAAGAAAUCCGCCAAGAUGGCGCCCCUGGCCAAUACUUCCAGACCGCCGACGGAGACGCUCAUGGCACGGCCGCACUCUGCAGUGUUCUGUGGGUCGGGAAAGCUCAUAAGUUGUUAUUUGCCUCCUCCCCCAGUAAGGAGGGAACUUGCUGGCAAACCUCAAGGCAGAGUUAACUGCAUAGACCACCUGACUUCAAGGAGAACCAUCUACACUCGUCAGAGGACAAGCCAUCACUCAGAAAUUCUGAUCUUCAAGGUUGUGCAGUAGUGGAAUGAGAUUCUGUGGGUGUUUCCCUUGGUGAUACGAUGGUGAGUGGAUCUGAUGGGAGCUUUUAUCAAAACUUGGGUGAUACAAACCGUGUGGACUAGUAACCAGAAAUCAGGUGGUGCCUUGAUCAGUACAGUGGAUGCCAGCACAGACGUCAGUGACCGAAGAUAAGGACUCUCCAAAGAGGUCAGAGGUUAUAAUCACCAGUAGAAGCCAACCUGCUGUCAGUGUUUUAGCUCCACAGCGACCCUCCGGAAGUGACCUACCCUCCCAUGAACUGUGAGUGGGAAGGGAGGAAUUAAAUCUGAACUUACAGAGUUUAAAUGUAAAAUAACUGAGUUUGCAUGGAAUUAAUAAUGAUUGAAGUUUCUGCCAGCUAGCACAAUAGGGUCUUUCAGUUAGAGAAAAUAAAGUUAAUCCUUUUUACGACCAAGAACAUGGCUUUAGAAAAUUGAACCUGUUACAUAAGAAAUUGAGGCAUAAGUAUAUUAUUUAAGGUAAUUAAAGAUAAACAAGCAAAGAAAUAAAGAUGAUAAUACAUCACAUAGUAUAAAAAG